GACGACGACGCGGCGGGGGCCGCGGGCGGCGGCGCUGGGGUCCUCAGGUGGCCCUGGGACGUGGCGGGCGUGCAGGACGGAGACGACGACGAGGCGGCGGCGGCGGCCCGGCCGGGCCCGGGUGGCAUGGUGAACCAGGGAGCAUCAUGUGGAGAUGGAGGUGCCCAAGAUUGAAGUCUGAAAGGAGUCUUUGGAAUCUGGUGUAUAUUUUACACCUGUAGCACGUUCAGUUUGGACCAGCCUCAUUCCACGUGCUUAAUGCCCACGCGUGACCAGUGGCUCUCGGAAGGGACAGUGCAGCUGCAGAGCACUUAGAACAGUGCCAGG